rnacentral:lncRNA from 1 species
UAAACCUGUGAUCUUGCCAGAAGUGGCAUAGUUUUAUUUAAAAGCUGAUCUGUCGAAUCAAGGACUUAGGGUAUUCGAUUUUAAAAUAUGAAAUAUACGCUUGAUUAUGGACAUGCAUUGCAAACAAGCCAGGACAGAAUGUUCUGAUGUGUUGCAUUCUACAUGUUCAGCUGACCACAACACCUCCGGGGUGAGGAUCAAGGUCGCAUACUCUCUGCUAGUCAUGUUGCACUGUCCAAUGGGUGUGGUGGCGAGUGGUUAACACAGGAUUGCAAAAGAAGACAGACAGAACUACUGCACAUCUUAGUGUUGUCAUUUUAUUAACAGAUGGAUAAAUGGUGGUAACGUAUUUUAUUAGAGUUGAGUGAACUGUGGCAUCAGGGUUGCUUGCGUGUGGUCUGCCCUUCUAUAAUCACCCAUAAACAUGUUAUUAUACCACACAACAGCAUCAGCACUGUUGGCUUUGGCUCUGGUUCUGGAACUGAAGAAAAAUAACACUGGGUAUUUAACAUUAGAGUACUGGAGUAUUAAAGUACUGAUCUGAUCAGCUAUGCAUCACGGUGAUCGCAAGUGGUUUUUUUUUUUGCCUUCUCAGGCUUUCUCAAUGCACUGCUGACAGACACAGAAAAUGGGCCUUUUUGACUGUGCAUACCCUGUAUAUGAUUCCUCUUUGCAGGCUCAACAGCAUCCUCAAAUGUUUCUUCUCCAAGCCCUGAGAGAGCAGUGAUAACCAUGCCAACAGGUGUGGCCGAGGUCCUAACGUCAGCUCCUCCACUCCACAGCUCAACAGCAUCCUCAAAUGUUUCUUCUCCAAGCCCUGAGAGAGCAGUGAUAACCAUGCCAACAGGUGUGGCCGAUGUCCGAACGUCAGCUCCUCCACUCCACAGUUCAACAGCUUCCUCAAAUGCUUUUCUCCCAAGCAAUGAGACAGCAACGCCCACGUCAGAUAAUACAACAACUGUCCCUGUUACCACAAAUGUGACCGAGGUCCUAACAUCAGUUCCUCCAUCCCACAGUAAGCCAGUCAAGUUGAAAACACACUGGACAACAUACUACACUUUCAGCCAUUACAAGGGAGA